rnacentral:lncRNA from 1 species
UGAUGCGGGGCCUGGACUUCAAUAUUGCUGGUGGUGGUGCAAACUGCAAUGCGUACCCCAGAAGGGAAGCUGGCAGCUUAAAAGUUAGCAGCGUGUGUGCCCUUUGAUUCAGAGAGCCACUUGCGCGUGGCUCUCCGGAGAGAUUUCUACCUGGGUCCAUGAAUGGACUUACGGAAGGAUUCCUUGGUAAUGAUUCUGAGUGACUGUGUUGAUGGAGGCAAGCAAGGUCUUGGACAAGUCAAAGGCGGCAGCCAUCGGAGACCAGAGCCGCCCCCUCUGCUCGAGAAAGGGGCUCAGCGGCGGCGGAAGCGGAGGGGGACCACCGUGGAGAGCGCGGUCCCAGCCCGGCCACUGCGGAUCCCUGAAACCAAGUAAGAGCGCUUCCCGCGCCACCCCCUCCCCGAAGCGGUUCGCGAGAA